GUUUAUUAUUGAAUAAGUAAAAGCCCGAGAAUAUCGAAAGAGUCCGGUAUGCGAGAACAAGUUGAUAUUUGACCAAGUUGUCGGAUAAUUGACAAGUGAUAAUGGUUUGAUUUAUUUAACAAUACACAGGUGAUAGAAUAUAAAAUAAUCGAUAAUUAUAUGGCUUAUGUCUCACGCCAAGAACAUGUAAAUAAGGUAAAUACCGGCUUUAAUAGAAAAGUGCAUUGUUUUUGUCAAAACUGACAUCGAUCUGAAAGUUUUGAUGCCAAACAUCAGGAACAUAUAUAUUAUUAUGUU
rnacentral:lncRNA from 1 species